rnacentral:misc_RNA from 1 species
UUAAAUAUUAUAUAAUACUCAGACAGCAAUAUAAAGGAAUUAAGGGGUCCUCUGGCAGGCACUAACCAGCCGAGGCCAGUAGUUGUAAAACAGGCCUGCCAAAGCAACAAAGGUAUUAUAGACAAAGGGUGGGAGAUAUACCCUAAAGGGCAUGUUCUCUGUAAUGAUCCUUCCGCAGGUUCACCUACGGAACGCAAACUCUACUAGAUUUUACAAGAGUAGGCCGGUCAUAUCUAAAUCCUAUAGCUACUAAAAACUCAGCAGGUAAUAACAGCUAAGGACCACCUUUGUUUGAUCUGUGAACUACAAUUAGUAGCUGCUUAUUACCUAUAGGUAUCCAAGCACAUUAAAGGUGUUGCCUAUACAAUAGACUGAGGAUCAAGGCUUCAGCAUGGUGAGUUUUAUGAAA